AUAAAGUUUUAUUUUGGCUUUAAAGUUUAUUAUUAGUUUAUUUUACAUGCAAAUUUAAGUGUGAUAUAGUUGGUGCUUAAAAAGCGCUUGGUUUAAUUGGUUCGCAGUAGUUAAUAUUAUUAAUUAAGGAAACUUAGAAAUAGAAAUAUUAUGAAGUAUUGGCUAAAUUUGUGCCAGCAGCCGCGGUUAUACAAAUAAUACAAGUAAAUUUAGUUGGUUUUAGUCUAAUUUAAAUUUUUAAACUAAUCUUAUUUUUAUUAGGUGAAAUUUUAAAAAUGUAAAUGUUUUAUUUUAUUUAAUUGAUGCUAGGAAACUUAAAUAAAAAACUAGGAUUAGAUACCCUAUUAUUUUUAGUGUAAAUGUAAUACCUGAGUAGUAGUAGUUAUGUUCUUGAAACUUAAAAAAUUUGGCGGUAUUUUAGUCUAUUCAGAGGAACCUGUUCUGUAAUCGAUAAUCCACGUUGGACCUUUCUUGCUCUUGUUUUCAGUUUAUAUACCGUCGUUAUCAGAGAAUUUUAAAAGAAAAACAAUUCUCUUUAAUUUUUAUAAGAAUUUAUAUCAGAUCAAGGUGUAGCUUAUGGGUAAGUAGAAAUGGGUUACAAUAAAGUUAUUUAUAUGGAUGUAAAUUUGAAACUCUUACUGAAAGUGGAUUUGAUAGUAAAGUUGUAUAGAUUAUCAACUUGAUUUUAGCUCUAUAAUAUGCACACAUCGCCCGUCGCUCUUAUUACUAAGAUAAGAUAAGUCGUAACAUAGUAGAUGUACCGGAAGGUGUAUCUAGAAUGAC
rnacentral:ncRNA from 1 species